rnacentral:rRNA from 1 species
AUUGGACGCUGGCGGCAGGCUUAACACAUGCAAGUCGAGCGGGGUGAUGGUGCUUGCACUAUCACUUAGCGGCGGACGGGUGAGUAAUGCUUAGGAAUCUGCCUAUUAGUGGGGGACAACAUCUCGAAAGGGAUGCUAAUACCGCAUACGUCCUACGGGAGAAAGAAGGGGAUCACUUGUGACCUUGCGCUAAUAGAUGAGCCUAAGUCGGAUUAGCUAGUUGGUGGGGUAAAGGCCUACCAAGGCGACGAUCUGUAGCGGGUCUGAGAGGAUGAUCCGCCACACUGGGACUGAGACACGGCCCAGACUCCUACGGGCGGCAGCAGUGGGGAAUAUUGGACGAUGGGGGGAACCCUGAUCCAGCCAUGCCGCGUGUGUGAAGAAGGCCUUAUGGUUGUAAAGCACUUUAAGCGAGGAGGAGGCUCUUUUGGUUAAUACCCAAGAUGAGUGGACGUUACUCGCAGAAUAAGCACCGGCUAACUCUGUGCCAGCAGCCGCAGUAA